CGGUAAUACGGAGGGUGCAAGCGUUACUCGGAAUCACUGGGCGUAAAGCGCGCGCAGGCGGUCUAUUAAGUUGGAUGUGAAAGCCUACGGCUCAACCGUAGAACUGCAUCCAAAACUAUUAGACUAGAGUGUGGGAGAGGAAGAUGGAAUUAGUUGUGUAGGGGUAAAAUCCGUAGAGAUAACUAGGAAUACCAAAAGCGAAGGCAAUCUUCUAGAACACUACUGACGCUGAGGCGCGAAAGCGUGGGGAGCAAACAGGAUUAGAUACCCUGGUAGUCCACGCAGUAAACGAUGAAUGUUAGUCGUCGGGGGCCUAGUGUCUUCGGUGAUGCAGCUAACGCAUUAAACAUUCCGCCUGGGGAGUACGGUCGCAAGAUUAAAACUCAAAGGAAUAGACGGGGACCCGCACAAGUGGUGGAGCAUGUGGUUUAAUUCGAAGAUACGCGAAGAACCUUACCUAGCCUUGACAUAUUUGAAAAUCCACCAGAGAUGGAGGAGUGCCUUCGGGAGUUCAUAUACAGGUGCUGCACGGCUGUCGUCAGCUCGUGUCGUGAGAUGUUGGGUUAAGUCCCGCAACGAGCGCAACCCUCGUCACUAGUUACUAACGAUUCGGUCGAGGACUCUAGUGAGACUGCCUUCGCAAGAAGGAGGAAGGUGAGGACGACGUCAAGUCAUCAUGGCCCUUACGGCUAGGGCAACACACGUGCUACAAUGGCCAGGACAGUGAGAAGCGAUACCGCGAGGUGGAGCAAAUCUAUAAACCUGGUCUCAGUUCGGAUUGUAGUCUGCAACUCGACUACAUGAAGCUGGAAUCACUAGUAAUCGUAGAUCAGCUAUGCUACGGUGAAUACGUUCCCGGG
rnacentral:rRNA from 1 species